GUAGGUGGCAAGCGUUGUCCGGAAUUAUUGGGCGUAAAGCGCGCGCAGGCGGUCCUUUAAGUCUGAUGUGAAAGCCCACGGCUCAACCGUGGAGGGUCAUUGGAAACUGGGGGACUUGAGUACAGAAGAGGAAAGCGGAAUUCCAAGUGUAGCGGUGAAAUGCGUAGAGAUUUGGAGGAACACCAGUGGCGAAGGCGGCUUUCUGGUCUGUAACUGACGCUGAGGCGCGAAAGCGUGGGGAGCAAACAGGGAUUAGAUACCCUGGUAGUCCACGCCGUAAACGAUGAGUGCUAAGUGUUAGGGGGUUUCCGCCCCCUUAGUGCUGCGGCUAACGCAUUAAGCACUCCGCCUGGGGAUACGGCCGCAAGGCUG
rnacentral:rRNA from 1 species